UUCAAGAGGGUAGUGAUUUAUGAACUUCCAAACAUUGAUUGUUAAAUGGCGUUUGAAAGUCCCUUGGCGGCGGGCAAGUUGUUACGUACGAAAUUUAGAAUUAGGUUAAAAGCCCAAGGUAAAAAGAAGAAUGGGCCUGGCAAUAGGGUUGAUUGAACUGGCUGAAGGACACCGUGAGGAAAUCAAGGAAAAUAAAUUUAUUUAUUUAUUUCUAAGGAAAAUACAGGACGGAAAGACCUCAGGACGGAAGGUUCUUAGGUCGGUAGGUCCUCAGGACGGAAAGACCUCAGGUCGGAAGGUCCGCAAGACGGAAAGACCUCAAGUCGGAAGGUCUUCAGGUCGGGAGGUCCGCAAGACGGAAAGACCUCAAGUCGGAAGGUCUUCAGGUCGGGAGGUCCGCAAGAUGGAAAGACCUCAAGUCGGAAGGUCUUCAGGUCGGGAGGUCCGCAAGACGGAAAGACCUCAAGUCGGAAGGUCUUCAGGUCGGGAGGUCCUCGAGACGGAAAGUCGUCGAGAUGGGAUAUCCGCAGGUCGGGUAAACUGUAGGUUGGAUAGAAGGCGGAGUCGGACAAACGCGGAGGCCUUUGAUCAAAGACAGGGGGCGGUUGAUAUGGAGGUCGGCCCAAGUGGGGUCGGGCGAAGAAGUAGGUCGGACGAAGGACGAAGUCGGGCCAAAAGAGCGGAAGGUUUGUGGUCGGCUCAAGGAGUGAAAUAUAGGGAAUUUUGGUCUGCUGGGGACACGUGUCAACAUGAGAAAGGUUGGAAGACGGUUGAGAAGGAGACGUUGUAACCGUUCGGGUGACGGUUUUCAGUACGGUUUCCCAGGGAAUAUUUAAGGUUUGAAUCAUCAUUUGGCAAGAUAUCUUCAAUCAAC